rnacentral:rRNA from 1 species
GAGUUUGAUCCUGGCUCAGAUUGAACGCUGGCGGCGUGGCUAAAACAUGCAAGUCGCGGGAGAACUCGCCUUCGGGCGGGGGACACCGGCGGAAGGGUGAGUAAUGCAUUCGAACGUACCCCAAGGUGGGAGAUAGGUCGGGGAAACCCGGCGUAAUACCCCAUGUGCUCUUCGGAGAAAAGCUUCGGCGCCUUGGGAGCGGCGAAUGUCCUAUCAGGUAGUUGGUGGGGUAACGGCCUACCAAGCCAUAGACGGGUAGCGGGUGUGAGAGCAUGACCCGCCACAUCGGGACUGAGACACUGCCCGGACUCCUACGGGAGGCUGCAGUAACGAAUAUUCCGCAAUGCACGAAAGUGUGACGGAGCGACGCCGCGUGUGGGAUGAAGCGGCUCUGCCGUGUAAACCACUGUCAGGAGCUACUAAGAACUGAAGAGCUCCAGAGGAAGGGCCGGCUAAUCUCGUGCCAGCAGCCGCGGUAAGACGAGAGGCCCAAGCGUUAAUCGGAAUCACUGGGCUUAAAGGGUGCGCAGGCGGACCCGUGUGUGUGCCGUGAAAUCCCUCAGCUCAACUGAGGAAUUGCGGUGCAAACUGCGGGUCUUGAGGCAGGUA